UCUUUUUCCCACGGAGCUUGCUCCACCGGAAAAAGAGGAGUGGCGAACGGGUGAGUAACACGUGGGUAACCUGCCCAUCAGAAGGGGAUAACACUUGGAAACAGGUGCUAAUACCGUAUAACAAUCNAAACCGCAUGGUUUUGAUUUGAAAGGCGCUUUCGGGUGUCGCUGAUGGAUGGACCCGCGGUGCAUUAGCUAGUUGGUGAGGUAACGGCUCACCAAGGCCACGAUGCAUAGCCGACCUGAGAGGGUGAUCGGCCACAUUGGGACUGAGACACGGCCCAAACUCCUACGGGAGGCAGCAGUAGGGAAUCUUCGGCAAUGGACGAAAGUCUGACCGAGCAACGCCGCGUGAGUGAAGAAGGUUUUCGGAUCGUAAAACUCUGUUGUUAGAGAAGAACAAGGAUGAGAGUAACUGUUCAUCCCUUGACGGUAUCUAACCAGAAAGCCACGGCUAACUACGUGCCAGCAGCCGCGGUAAUACGUAGGUGGCAAGCGUUGUCCGGAUUUAUUGGGCGUAAAGCGAGCGCAGGCGGUUUCUUAAGUCUGAUGUGAAAGCCCCCGGCUCAACCGGGGAGGGUCAUUGGAAACUGGGAGACUUGAGUGCAGAAGAGGAGAGUGGAAUUCCAUGUGUAGCGGUGAAAUGCGUAGAUAUAUGGAGGAACACCAGUGGCGAAGGCGGCUCUCUGGUCUGUAACUGACGCUGAGGCUCGAAAGCGUGGGGAGCAAACAGGAUUAGAUACCCUGGUAGUCCACGCCGUAAACGAUGAGUGCUAAGUGUUGGAGGGUUUCCGCCCUUCAGUGCUGCAGCUAACGCAUUAAGCACUCCGCCUGGGG
rnacentral:rRNA from 1 species